ensembl:lncRNA
CCCCCACUGUGGUACAAGGGAGCCCACACACAGCUGGCCCCCCACUGUGGUGCACGGGAGCCCACACACAGCUGGCCCCCACUGUGGUGCACGGGAGCCCACACACAGCUGGCCCCCACUGUGGUGCACGGGAGCCCACACACAGCUGGCCCCCACUGUGGUGCACGGGAGCCCACACACAGCUGGCCCCCACUGUGGUGCACGGGAGCCCACACACAGCUGGCCUCCACUGUGGUGCACGGGAGCCCACACACUGGACGUACAGACUCCAUCCAGUCCUGCAGCACUUACAGGCUGGUAACUUUACCUCCUGAGCCUGUUUCUUCACCAGUGAAGCCACUGUCCUGCAAUGAAGAACUCCUGGAGGUCCUCUUUGACAGGAGACAAGGCAUUCUAACCCGGCACCCAGCAAAGGCUAGCAAACCCAUAGAUGGGCUGAGAACCCUGGAGUUUUCUCCCAGGGUCUUCCUCUCCCAAAUGACAGCUCACCUCGUUCACAUCAUGGCUGCGCAUGCACUGAAGUUGCUGGCACCGCAUAGACCUUCACCACCCACGAGAGGAGGAAUGCUUGGCAAUGUGGUCUGCAGUCGCCCCUGCCUGGUCCAGAUUGCCUGUGGAAUUCUGCUGCUCCCAGAAGCAGGUCUGCCCGAGGUCCUAAGGCCCCACCCAUGGCAGGUGUAGCUUCUGCAUGCUGUUCUGUGCUGAGUAGACCGGUCUUAUGGUAUGGUCAUAGGGUCCCACACCUCAGGGUCAGGGCCACUCAGGCUUGUCUCCGCCCCCAGAGAAGCCAUUCCCCACUAGAGAGAAGCUUGAGCCUAUUGUCACUUGCUCCCCCUACUAUGACAAUCAAGCCAGCUUGGGACUUUGCAUUGCAGACAGCCCUCCAGAUAGCCCAAAGAGGGACCUUCCUCCAGCCUGGGCUCAGCAAGUGGGUGCCAGGACGAGAGAGGGGUUAGACCUGGGAAACAUGACUUUCAAACCGUACACUGCUAGGACUGUGCACCUACCCGCCGAUAAAACCCAACAUGUACAUGGCAGUUUACAGAUUGUGAGGCUCUGUGGGACAUGUGUACAAUUACUGCAUAUAAAAUAUUCACCAAAAAGCCGGGUGUGGCAGCUCAUGCCUGUAAUCUUAACACUUGGGAGUCUGAGGCCAGACUGCUGUGAGUUCUAGGUCAACUUGGUCUCCAUAAUAUAGUCUCCACAGUACAUACCAGGCCAACUAGUGCAAGACUCUAUCUCAAAGAAACAAGCAAAACAAAAGCCGUGUACCUCGGCCUUGCACAGCUCAAGGGAUUGAGCUAAGUGGGGUAGCCAGGGGAUGAAGAAACGAUAAACACAGACAGACACACAGACGCAGAAAAGUUGGGAUCCAGUGGACUGGGCUCUGGUGGAGAAGGCAUAGCACCCAGAAGCUUGGCUUUUAACUGUAGACAAUCGAACAGGGAGGCGGGGUUAUUGUCUACACAUGAACAGGGAGGCGGGGUUAUCACAAACAGCUGAACGGGGAGGCGGGGUUAUCACACACAGCUGACCAGGGAGGCGGGGUUAUCACACACAGCUGAACAGGGAGGCGGGGUUAUCACACACAGCUGAACGGGGAGGCGGGGUUAUCACACACAGCUGAACGGGGAGGCGGGGUUAUCACACACAGCUGAACGGGGAGGCGGGGUUAUCACACACAGCUGAACGGGGAGGCGGG